UCAAGAAAAAGCCAAACCUGUCGCGAGACAGGGACGGAAAACCACGGGUCUCAUCG
rnacentral:misc_RNA from 1 species